AACGAACGCUGGCGGCGUGAAUAAAACAUGCAAGUCGAGCGCUAAUUUGAGGGAACCAAUAUUUUCAAGUUGGAGCGGCGCAAGGGUGCGUAACACGUGGGUAAUUUGCCUUGAAGUUGGGAAUAACUUGCUAAAAGGCGAGCUAAUACCAAAUGUGACAUUGGGAAGGCAUCUUCUGAAUUUCAAAGUUGGGGACCGAAAGGCCUGACCCUUCAUGAUAAGCCCGCGGCCUAUCAGCUAGUUGGUGAGGUAACGGCUCACCAAGGCUAAAACGGGUAGCUGGUCUGAGAGGACAACCACCCACACUGAAACUGAAACACGGUCCAAACACCUACGGGUGGCAACAGUCGAGAAUUUUUCUCAAUGGGCAAAAGCCUGAAGGAACGACGCCCCGGGGGGAAUAAAUGGCUUCGGCCCGUAAACCCCUGUCAUUUGCAAACAACCCUUACAAUUUAAUAAAUCGGGAGCUGAUUGUACCGAAAAAGGAAGGGACGGCUAACUCUGUG
rnacentral:rRNA from 1 species